AGGCAAGUCCUUAAGUUUUGGUAAAUUUGCUGCCAUUGUCGAACUUCAAAAAGGUUUCCUUGUCCUCCUCCAUCAAUCUCAGUAGGCACGCUCAAACACCAUUUUUUGAAUCGGAACUGAUCUCAGGACAAAAUUCAAGUAGAUUUCUCGGAUAGCCUCAUCCUGAGAGCUGGCUCCAGAUAUCAAGUCAUCGACUUAAACUAUGAUAACUAUGAGGCAGGCUUCAUCCCAUAAUAAACGGUGUCCAGUUUAAACAAAAUACACCAAAAGUUACUAUUCUCGGGUGAGACCCCUACAUACCGGUACAUCUUGCAGAUAUCACCCGUAAUUGCAGCUGCAUAUUACCGAAAUCGAGUAAGAAUAUGGAAAAGCUUGGGUUGGAUUGCGGGAUCGGCCAUUAAAACGUCGAUUAGGGAAUAGCCAGAUGAAGUUGAUUCGGAUCCAUCAAAAACUACCCGUAGAGCUAUCUUCCUUUGUGACGAAAUCAUGAGGAAAAAAGUAUCGGCAGAAGCUGAUUGACUCGGCAGGAACCGGAGACACAUGACCCAUGAUCAAGGUUCUCGUUUAUGAAAGCAGCAUACUGGGAUUUCACAUCAAGGCGACGAUCUAACCUCCGCUCAAGAGAUACAAAUCUACGAUGAGCUUGUUGGUAAGAUUCUCCCAAGAGGCCCAAGUUAUAUUUAGCUGGCAGCUCAAUAAUUGCCGACUUUACAAUGGGUACCAUGCAAUUCUCUGACUCCCAAAACCGUCGAAGAAUUAGCUCAAGUCGUUCCUAUAGACUAUUAUUCUCUGUUAUUUGUGAUUUCAGCUUACCGUUAGGGAAAUGUUAGACUUUCAAGUUAAAAAUUGAUGAUUUUUGUGGGGUAUUUUUUCAAGCAAAAAAAUCAUCAAAAAAUUUCAAAUCCCCAAAUCUAUCACAAAAACAAGCUCAUUAUUCUUUGAUCGCCUUAAAAAUUAUGCGAAUGCUGACAACGUUUUUCCUUUGGUGGCUUUUGGAUUGUCUACAAUUGUUAUCUUAAUCUAUAUUACAAAACAUAUAUCAAAAAUAAUUUUCCGAGAAACGCUAGACACAAAUUAUAAAAUAAAAUAAUAAAAAAAAAACAUUAAA